AAUUAAUUUUACUAUUCUAGAAAAUACUUUACAAAAAUGUGUUAUUUUACAUAAUUUUGAAAAGUUCUUUCCAAAAUAGUAAAUUUAAUG
rnacentral:miRNA from 1 species